rnacentral:lncRNA from 1 species
UCUCAGUCACACCAUGUGUGCUUCUACUGUUCCGGAGCCACAUGGAGCUGAUGGCUGAUGAAUUGAACAGCACAGCUCCAGAACAUUUCCGUCCUCACAGAAAGUUCUAGAGCUUGAUCUGGACAGUGGCUAUAUAGGUGUGUGCAUUGGUCAAAACUCAUUGAGCUGAGUACUCAUACCUCUAUUAAAAACAUACCUUUUGAAAGCACAGACUCAGAUCUUCACCCAUCACUUGCUUCAUACCUUUGAUUUAAGCUCUUUCUGGCCCCCGCUCGCUACCUGUGUAACAGGGUGAAGACAGUACCUCUUUUUCCUUGUGUUAGGGAACUUGGCCAGAAUUGCACAGUGAGCCCUUGAGAAGUUUCCACCCUGGGGAUGGCAUGGAGCUGCAACACAGGCAGCUUUGGCUGCCCUCGGGGACUCGGCCUCGGCUCAUGGAUAGUUCCCUGUUUUAGAGGCAGGGGUCUGAGACCCAGCCUCCAAGCAUCAAAUCAGAGGGCUGCUUCCUAUGGAGCCCGAGCUCAGUGACCCCCUGCCUAGCCUGGGAGCCAGGACAGGAUGGAGGAUGUAGAGGUGGUAUGGCUUCUGGCAGCAGGGACACCAUGAAGUGUUCCCAUGUUCUGCUUCGUUUCACAAAGACUUUCUAAGAUACAGUGUCAUCCGUCCUCCUGGGAGCCUGUCCUUUUUGUACCCAGGAAGAAAUAGGCCCAGAGGAGGGAUAUGGCCAGUUAGUGGCACACAGUGGAGCUGCAUGUCCAAGGCUUCCUACUCCAAGUAUUUGUCAUCCUCUGGGUCACCCUGGAUGGUCACCAUCUGUCUAUGUGGACACAGCCUUAUCCACAGACUCACUAUCUUGGCUGGUCAUGGGUGGGAACAAGAAUGGGGAUGCUUCCAUGACAAAGCUCAACUCAAACAAACAUCUUACCCCCUCGAUGCCUCCGUUUCCUUCCUGUAAAAUGGGUCUGGUACUGUUGAUUCUAUCUAUCCCUCACAGGGACAGAAUGAGGAUCAAGCAAGCGGAUGUAAAAUGCCCACAUCAUGACUGGCACGUAGUAAAUGUUGGGGGCUGUGGUUCUACCAAGCCCUGGAGGAUAAGCAGGAGGGAGCAGACCCAGGCUCUUCCUUCUCAGGGGCGCAUCAAGGAAUACAAGCCCAAGGCCCAAGAUACUGCAUUCCCAGCAGAUGCCUUCCACGUGAGUCUCCGAAAAUGCCAGCAGUCUCAGCAGGCAUCCUCCUUGCUAACUUUGCUUCUGUGCUGCUUUGACCCCUCAGCUCCGGAAUGGAGCCACAGCCCCCAAGGAGCAGGAGUCCUGGGGCAGAUCCUCUUCCUCUGCCCUGGCCACUCUUCCUCCUCUUCCUCUUCCUUUUCCCUUCAUUCCAGGGUGGGGCUUAGUGACCCUGUCAAUCUACGGCACCUUGGAGGAAGUCCCAUUCCUGGACCGAUCUGGGACACAGGCUCUUUAUGGUCACUCUGUUUAUCAGCCAAUAUUGAGGAAAAGGACAGAGCAGGGCCUGGCAUUUGCAGACACCUGGAAGAUAUUAAUGGGCAAAUGAGUGAAUGGUGGCACUGAGCUGCAUUUAGAAAGGUGGUUGGGGGCCUUGUGUGUUAAUGGUAAAUAGUUACUCUGAGGGGCACCUAGGUGGCACAGCGGUUAAGCGUCUGCCUUCGGCUCAGGGCGUGAUCCCGGCGUUAUGGGAUCGAGCCCCACAUCAGGCUCCUCUGUUGUGA